rnacentral:rRNA from 1 species
GUCUAUUUGUAGAUAUAAGGAGUCGGGCCUGCUCACUGAUUUAAGAUUUUUAAGAGCCGCGGUAAUAUGACCGUGCAAAGGUAGCAUAAUCAUUAGGUUUUUAAAUGGGAUCUUGUAUGAAUGGUCGGACAAAGGAAAAGCUGUCUUUAUUUUAAAAUUUGAAUUUUACUUUUAAGUGAGAAGGCUUAAAUAUUUUAGAGGGACGAUAAGACCCUAUAAAGCUUUACAUUAUAAAUGCAUUUAAUUAAAUUUAAAAAUAAAAGUUUAAUGUAGAUAUAUGUUUUAUUGGGGAGAUAGAAGUAAAAAUUAUAUUAACUGCUUUAAUGAUUAACAUUUAUUAGUGGAAACCAAAAUUAAUAAAUCCUAUAAAUAUUAUAGAAGAAAGAUUAAGUUACUUUAGGGAUAACAGUGUAAUUUUUUUUGAGAGUUCAUAUCGGAAAAAAAGUUUGCAACCUCGAUGUUGAAUUAAAAUAUCUAUAUAAUGUAGUUGUUAUAUAAGAGGGUCUGUUCGACCUUU